rnacentral:rRNA from 1 species
UACGUAGGGUGCAAGCGUUAAUCGGAAUUACUGGGCGUAAAGCGUGCGCAGGCGGUUAUGUAAGACAGAUGUGAAAUGCCCGGGCUUAACCUGGGAACUGCAUUUGUGACUGCAUGGCUAGAGUGUGUCAGAGGGGGGUAGAAUUCCACGUGUAGCAGUGAAAUGCGUAGAGAUGUGGAGGAAUACCGAUGGCGAAGGCAGCCCCCUGGGCCAAUACUGACGCUCAUGCACGAAAGCGUGGGGAGCAAACAGG